AAGUCGUAACAAGGUUUCCGUAGGUGAACCUGCGGAAGGAUCAUUAACGAACAAGAGAUUCAAAUGAAAUUUUUGAAUCUUUUGAGAUCAACCAAAACCUGUGUAAUGUAAUAAAAUGUAUAUUUUAAUUAAUAUACUAUCAAUAAUUUUAAUAAUACAAAACUUUCAACAACGGAUCUCUUGGCUCUU
rnacentral:misc_RNA from 1 species